GACAGAGGUGCCAAGCGUUAGGCGGAAUCACUGGGCUUAAAGCGCGUGUAGGCGGGACGGCACGUCGGUCGUUGAAAUCCCCCGGCUCAACCGGGGAACGGGCGCCGAUACGACCGUCCUGGAGGGACGUAGGGGGACCUGGAACUUCCGGUGGAGCGGUGAAAUGCGUAGAUAUCCGGAGGAACACCGGUGGCGAAGGCGGCAUGCUGGACCUUUUCUGACGCUGAGGCGCGAAAGCCAGGGGAGCAAACGGG
rnacentral:rRNA from 1 species